AACGCACGAGACCUGCGGACCUGCGGAAGGAUCAUUCACAAUAAGAGUGUUCUAUGGCACUCUUCAAAAAAAUCCAUACCCACCUUGUGUGCAAUGUAAAAAGGAACAAGUUUUUGAGUGGGGGAGAAAAAGGAGCUCGCUUCUCUUCUCCGCCCUCUUGACUUGAGCCUUUCCAUUCCAUAUACACCUUUCUAUAAUCCUAUUGUCUGAAGUAUAUACGAAUAAACAUAAUUCGAAAUA
rnacentral:misc_RNA from 1 species